rnacentral:rRNA from 1 species
UUACUGGGCGUAAAGCGCGCGUAGGUGGCCAUUUAAGUCAAAUGUGAAAUCCCCGAGCUUAACUUGGGAAUUGCAUUCGAUACUGGGUGGCUAGAGUAUAGGAGAGGAAGGUAGAAUUCCAGGUGUAGCGGUGAAAUGCGUAGAGAUCUGGAGGAAUACCGAUGGCGAAGGCAGCCUUCUGGCCUAAUACUGACACUGAGGUGCGAAAGCAUGGGGAGCAAACAGGAUUAGAAACC